GGGGGUAUAGCUCAGUGGUAUAGCAUUUGACUGCAGAUCAAGAGCUCCCAGUUUCAAAUCCUUUUGCCCCCU
rnacentral:tRNA from 1 species